rnacentral:rRNA from 2 species
UGGGGAAUAUUGCACAAUGGGCGGAAGCCUGAUGCAGCGACGCCGCGUGGGGGAUGACGGCCUUCGGGUUGUAAACCUCUUUCAGUGCAGAACGAGGCUCUUCGUGGGUCGAGGGUAUGCGCAGAAGAAGCGCCGGCUAACUACGUGCCAGCAGCCGCGGUAGUACGUAGGGCGCGAGCGUUGUCCGGAUUUAUUGGGCGUAAAGAGCUCGUCGGCGGUUUGUCGCGUCUGCUGUGAAAUCCUCUGGCUUAACUGGGGGCGUGCAGUGGGUACGGGCAGACUGGAGUGCGGUAGGGGAGACUGGAAUUCCUGGUGUAGCGGUGGAAUGCGCAGAUAUCAGGAGGAACACCGGUGGCGAAGGCGGGUCUCUGGGCCGUUACUGACGCUGAGGAGCGAAAGCAUGGGGAGCGAACAGG